GCCUUCGUAGCUCAAUGGUAGAGCGUUGACUUUGAAAGCCAAGGGUUGGUGGUUCGAUCCCGUCCGGGACA
rfam:Phytophthora nicotianae strain race 0 contig1755, whole genome shotgun sequence.